AGCGAACGCUGGCGGCAGGCCUAACACAUGCAAGUCGAACGAACUCUUCGGAGUUAGUGGCGGACGGGUGAGUAACACGUGGGAACGUGCCUUUAGGUUCGGAAUAACUCAGGGAAACUUGAGCUAAUACCGGAUGUGCCCUUCGGGGGAAAGAUUUAUCGCCUUUAGAGCGGCCCGCGUCUGAUUAGCUAGUUGGUGAGGUAAAGGCUCACCAAGGCGACGAUCAGUAGCUGGUCUGAGAGGAUGAUCAGCCACAUUGGGACUGAGACACGGCCCAAACUCCUACGGGAGGCAGCAGUGGGGAAUCUUGCGCAAUGGGCGAAAGCCUGACGCAGCCAUGCCGCGUGAAUGAUGAAGGUCUUAGGAUUGUAGAAUUCUUUCACCGGGGACGAUAAUGACGGUACCCGGAGAAGAAGCCCCGGCUAACUUCGUG
rnacentral:rRNA from 1 species